rnacentral:rRNA from 1 species
GUAUGUACAUGCCUAUAGCAUUAAUGCACCGGAUUCCAUCAGAACUCCGUAGUUAAGCGUGCUUGGGCUAGAGUAAUACUGGGAUGGGUGACCUCCCAGGAAGUCCUAGUGUUUUACAUGCC